GGAGCUGAAUUAGAGAUCGGCACCCUGUCAUUCUUAUAUCACUGGAGUUGAAAAUGUCUCUAAGCGUUGAAGCUAAAGCAAAAAUCGUUUCCGAGUUUGGUCGUGG
rnacentral:ncRNA from 1 species